AGACAAAUAGUUAUGCAGAAAAAUCUUAAAUUUGAUGACUAAAUGGUUGUUUUUGAAUUUGAAAAGAUAAAUUGAGAAAAAUGAUAGGUCGUUAGCUUGGCGCAAAAAUCGACGAUUGUUCUUUGAUAAUUAAACAACCUGUUAUCAUAUAUAGCUGUUGGAAAUACAGCACUUCUGUAGUGGCGGCGGCGUUUUGUGAGAGGAAAAUUAAGCAUCAACCGGGACAAGCAUAUUCAUACCAUUUCACAGAGGAAAGGAAGGAAA
rnacentral:misc_RNA from 1 species